UACGGAGGGUGCAAACGUUGUUCGGAAUUACUGGGCGUAAAGCGCGCGUAGGCGGUUUGUUAAGUCAGAUGUGAAAGCCCAAGGCUCAACCUUGGACGUGCAUUUGAAACUGGCAGACUUGAGUACUGGAGGGGAUGGUGGAAUUCCCGGUGUAGAGGUGAAAUUCGUAGAUAUCGGGAGGAAUACCGGUGGCGAAGGCGACCAUCUGGCCAGAUACUGACGCUGAGGUGCGAAAGCAUGGGGAGCAAACAGG
rnacentral:rRNA from 1 species